CUAAAAUGAGAGUUUGAUCCUGGCUCAGGACGAACGCUGGCGGCGUGCCUAAUACAUGCAAGUCGAACGCUUUUUUCAAUCAUCGUAGCUUGCUACACCGAUUGAAAAUUGAGUGGCGAACGGGUGAGUAACACGUGGGUAACCUGCCCAAAAGAGGGGGAUAACACUUGGAAACAGGUGCUAAUACCGCAUAACCAUGAUGACCGCAUGGUCAUUAUGUAAAAGAUGGUUUCGGCUAUCACUUUUGGAUGGACCCGCGGCGUAUUAACUUGUUGGUGGGGUAACGGCCUACCAAGGUAAUGAUACGUAGCCGAACUGAGAGGUUGAUCGGCCACAUUGGGACUGAGACACGGCCCAAACUACUACGGGAGGCAGCAGUAGGGAAUCUUCCUCAAUGGGAGCAAGCAUGAUGGAGCAACGCCGCG
rnacentral:rRNA from 2 species